GCCGGGAUGGCUCAGCGCAUAGAGCGUCCCUCUCCUAAGGGGAAGAUCGCAGGUUUGAAUCCUGCUUCGGGCA
rnacentral:tRNA from 1 species